rnacentral:rRNA from 1 species
GGCGUGCUUANACAUGCAAGUCGAACGAUGAAGCUGGAGCUUGCUCCGGCGGAUUAGUGGCGAACGGGUGAGUAACACGUGAGCAAUCUGCCCUUGACUCUGGGAUAACUGCGGGAAACUGUAGCUAAUACCGGAUACUUUCCUCGCUGGGCAUCCAGCGGGGAAGAAAGAAUUUCGGUCAAGGAUGAGCUCGCGGCCUAUCAGCUAGUUGGUGAGGUAAUGGCUCACCAAGGCGACGACGGGUAGCCGGCCUGAGAGGGUGACCGGCCACACUGGAACUGAGACACGGUCCAGACUCCUACGGGAGGCAGCAGUGGGGAAUAUUGCACAAUGGGCGAAAGCCUGAUGCAGCAACGCCGCGUGAGGGAUGAAGGCCUUCGGGUUGUAAACCUCUUUUAGCAGGGAAGAAGCGAAAGUGACGGUACCUGCAGAAAAAGCACCGGCUAACUACGUGCCAGCAGCCGCGGUAAUACGUAGGGUGCAAGCGUUGUCCGGAAUUAUUGGGCGUAAAGAGCUCGUAGGCGGUUUGUCACGUCUGCUGUGAAAUUCCGAGGCUCAACCUCGGACUUGCAGUGGGUACGGGCAGGCUAGAGUGCGGUAGGGGAGAUGGGAAUUCCUGGUGUAGCGGUGGAAUGCGCAGAUAUCAGGAGGAACACCAAUGGCGAAGGCACAUCUCUGGGCCGUAACUGACGCUGAGGAGCGAAAGCGUGGGGAGCAAACAGGAUUAGAUANCCUGGUAGUCCACGCCGUAAACGGUGGGUGCUAGCUGUGGGNCACAUUC